GGUGCUGAAGUCAAAAACUAAGGAGCUACCCAUCUGACAGCUUGCAUAUUCUCGGAGAGGCCACCUGGGAGGAAAGAGGGGAACAUGCAGGCUGGGGAGGAAGAGAGGAGCCACGUGUCCCAAGCGAAGCACUUGAGUUCCAUCUCACAGGCUGUCUGAGGUCCGAGGUGGCAUUUGGGCAGGGAGGAGAUCAGUUUAUAAAAGGUUCACGUGGGGGACAGAAGGGAAGACAGCGUGGUUAGAGAGAGAGAAGAGUUUCAGGUUAGAGGAGCUAGGAGAGGGGACAGUAGUUAUGAGAGAAGAUGGUGACAAACUAGACAGGGAGAAUGAUUGAUGUGAGGAAAAACUAGACUCGAGAGACAGCUGAGCAGUAGUAUUUUAGGUUUCAGAGUCGGCCCUCCUGUUGUCACCAUGGGUCACUGCUGAUGAGGAGCUGAACUGAAUGGAGCAUUUGGUAUUUUCCCUUGGAAACAAGGCUGCAGUGAUAGUUGGAUUGUGUCAACUUGAGUAAGAAACUGCCAGCUAAACUGGAUCAGUGCAGUUGUGAGUGAGGCUGAGGGCAUUAUGGAGGACAGGAGAGCCACGCUAGGCUGGCUUGUCACCUGAGUGGUACAAAAGCGAAACGAGGGAGGAAGGCUCGCUUCUGUUUCUUUGGAGGAGCUCCAGUCUUUGCCUUCCCCUCGGACGUCAUCUCCUGGCUUCCGGUGCAGACUCUCUGGCCUCCUGAUAGGGACUCGCACGGGACACUGCAGGGAGCUCCAGGCCUUCAGCUGGACCUUUCAGAUCCCCAGUGCACAGACGGACCUUUUGCACUCUUCGACCCCCGACUCUGUGUUCGGCCACUCUCUCCCUACUAGAAUGCUAAGGCCAUGAAGCCAGCUGGCCUCAAACUCCAAGAUGGCCUUGAACUCUGCUCAGUCAUCCCAUCUCAGUUUCCUGAGUGCUGAGAUUACAGGUGUGUGCCACCAUGCCAGACCCAUUACAACUUUGGGGGACCCUACAUACUUUAACCUUUGGGGACCACUUCCUCUAUUAAAAAUAUGUAUAAACAUAUACCAAAAUAUAUAAAUAGACAAAUACAUGUAUGUAAAAUUAUAUUUUAGAAUUGCAGUGAUAUAAAGACAAAUAUGUUACAAGCUGGAUUAUACCCACUUUUUUCUGAUUUUAAAAUAUUUAGUGUCACAUGCACUGACAUUGCUGCUGAUCACAACCAUGAUGAGGAGAUGCAUGGACCUGUGAGGGAAUCUUCCUUUUUUUUUUUUUGUACCGGGGAUCGAACUCGGGUCCUUGCGCUUGCGAGGCAGGCGACAGAACCACUUCUUCCUAUAUUUUUGCACUCACGAUGUCUCACUUGGCCUUAGCCUUGGGCAGAGGAAUAUUUACAACCCCAAAGCUGUCAAAUGACCACUUCUCUGAGCUUCAGUGUCUUCGUGUUUACAAGGGCUGUCAUAAAGUAAGCACUUGUCCAGGGUUGGAGCUUAGUGGUAAAGAACAGGCUUAAGAUGUCUGCGGUGCUAGCAUCAAAAAGAAGGAAGGAAGAAGGGGAGGAGAGAAUGAGGGAGAGAGGAAAGAAAGAAAGAGAGAAAAUAGAGAAAGAAAGAAAACAAGGAAGAAAGAAAAGAAUUACCAUAAUAUAAAUAAGAGAAUACAACAGAAUUACUAUACAAUUCAGCAAUUCUUCUCCUAGGUGUAACCCAAAGAAUUAAAAAGCAAAUUUCAAAUACACACCAAUGUUUAUGUCUAUCAACAGAUGAAUGGAUAAAAUAUUCUCUAUGGACAACAGAAUAUUAUUCAGCCAUAAAAAUGAAUGAAAUUCUGAUACUGGCUCCAACACAGAAGAACCCACACACAGUACAGUAAAGAACAAGUUCUGUGUGAUUUCACUUGUACGAGAUUACCUGGAAUAAUGAAUAAGCACAUUCAUAGAUGGAAAUUAGUGGGGGUUCUAGUUGGGAUGAUGAAAAGAUUCUGGAAAUGGAGGGGUGAUGGUUGCACAAUAUUGUGAAUGUAUUUAAUGCCACUGAGUUGUAUACCUAAAAAUAGGUAAGCUUGUCAAUUUUACUUGUAUUUUCCACAGUAAAAAAACUCUGCACAGUAUUUAUGCAGGGUGAAAAAGGCAGACAAAUCAUGACUGAUAAUUACCGUACUGCUAUGGUGAACAAGUGUUCCAAAGUUCACAGACAGACUGGCAGGCAUAAGAUGCUGUGUAAACACAGACUUCUCCUGCCCCUGCCCAGACUUGUUGCUCACCUCCCACUCAGCCAGCACAGUCCAUGACCGAGCUGAAGAAUAAAUGGACAGUGGCCAAGAUCAGAAAGCACGGGUAUCCCAGAGCAUGUGCGCUUGUCCAGGAAAUCCGCUGUUCCUUGCUGUCUAGAAGCAAUGCUUUUGGGACAAGGACUGUGGUCUUGGCUGAGAGAUUUAAGAUGGUCCUGUGUUGGGAGAGAGGAGUGACCCAUGAAAGGCCAUGUCACUCACCGGGCCCUGAGCAUGGGCACUUGCACCAAGGUUGGUCUGAUCUGAUUUCCUGGUUUGGAAAGAACAUCUUGAUCUUUGCAAAAGCUGAAAGGGCAGCUCCCCAGAGAAGGGUGUGUUGGUUACAAUGUGGGACGGGAACCCAUCGGUCUUAGAGUCUGAGCUGCUUCUCAUUUUAUCAAGUAAGCCCCAUUCUCAAAGAUGAUGUGUUAAAAAAAAUGCAGAAAGGAUAACACAGGAUGAGGGAUUCUGGGACUCAAGGACACUUCACGAAUGCUUGUGCCACUGAGUUUGCUCAGAUCACCAGUCUGUCUAGUUUUCCAUUUCCAGGGAUGAUCAAGCUCCAAGGGGCACCUGUGAGCUCCCUGCAGCUUGUCAGGAGUGUGUACAGGUUCUAUCAGCUUCUUAGAGGGAUGCAUGACCCCCCAGUAGUUUUAGAAUCCCUGUUGCCAUGAGUUUUAAGUGUACCCGUACAGAUCAGCAUUUCACUUCCUCCCAGUUUCCAGGGGCACAUCCAUGGCUCCCAGCAGUGUGCUGGGCGGCCCACAUCUAUCUGAUGGCAGUCAGUGCAGUGCUGUGGUGGAGAGGUCACUGAUGAAUCCCCCGCCCUCUUCUCAGAGAAGUGAUUCUUUGGUAAAUAAGCCAACUGUGACACUGGAGCUGUUAUCUCACAUCUAUGCAAAAAUGCUGACACCAAAUGAUAGUGGAGUCUCCGGGUUGACUCUAAUUCCUCCUCAUUCCACCCAGCUUUGCCAGGUGCAUGUGAAUGACACACCCAGGUCACCAAUUCAGCCCUAGGAAUGGAGCAACUGGCAAUAAAAGAAUAACUUUCCAAUCCCCACUGGUGCAUUUAAUAGCUUGUUGUGGCCUCUUGCAAGUCCCCAAGCAGAGUGUUAGGUGGUCUACAGGACCUGGCCAGGCCAGCAAGCAUCAGGCAAUUAGCUUGCAUGGCCCUGCCUUUCCCCUGCAAGGAGGAACACAGUAAGGAGAAGGGUCAUAGUGAACUGAUACUGUAAAGGCUCUGAAGAAUGACUCAGACAUUCCAGUGCAGCUUUUAUUUUCCCUUUGUGUUAACGUGUGAAAUGUAAUCCUAGUCAUUUUUUCCGAUGAGUUGAUAAACAAUGAUUUUCCAUAGCAGCAUAUGAGCUGGGGCAUGGAGAAUGGAUCAUGUGCCAACAUUUUUCUCUCUCCCACCCUGAACACCUAAGACAACUGCCCCAAGUCUAGGCUUACGGAUUUCUGGAUCUCAGAAAUUUUAGCAAAGGUACAGACUACAAAUGGCCAGAAGGGACUGGCCAGGGAGGGUGGCCAGAUGGGGAGUUUCGGAGGCUUGGAAGUUCUGGCCUGACACUCAGCCCUACUCCACAUUCCUGGGUUCCCUGGGAUGCAGGUAGAGCAGAGAAAUGAUUUAUUUGGCAUCAGAAACAUCCUCAUCCAGGAAGAGCCAGGAAGCGAUAUUUGAUGGCGCCUUCUGCAGGCCAGGCACUGGGCUAACCUUGUCCAUGGCAUAUGCUCUGUCAUCCUUGCAGCAGUAGAGAAGUGACUGAACCCGAAUGCACAUUGGUACCUGAUUUUAUAGUGUGCAGUCUGCUCUCCCCGCCUGUUGCUGUCGCGUCCUUGGAUUCAAUCAAGUCUGGGUUGAAAAUAUAUAUUUUUUAAAUUGUAUCUGUACUGAACAUGUAAAGACUUUUGUUUCUGGCCUUUGCUCUCUAAACAACAUAGUAUAACAAGUUGAUUUAAGCACACAGAAGGAUGGAUGUAGGGUGUACGCAAACGCCACACCAUUGUACACAAGGGGACCUAAGCACCCUCCAUAUUGUGGGCGAAGUGAGGUCCUGGAAGCAAUCGCCUGCAGAUACUGUGGGGUGACUGUAUUGUCAGAAAAUACAUAUCACAGAAAAAUUAUUUUACAAUAAUUUCCUCUCUAAUGAGUUUUUGCCUUCCCUCAAUUUACAGAUGAUGGAACUAAAGCAUGGAAGAUUGAAUCACAUGGCCACUUAGAGAGUGGUAGGGAAAUUGGGAUUUGAAUCCAAGAUUGUUGAAUUCCAAAUUCUAUUUUCUCACCACCAGCCCAAGCUGCCUCCCACUUGGGGCUGAGGAAGGCAAGUGUGUGUGCAUAGUUGCGGCCCUGUGGAACGGAUUCCCAGGCAGCUCCUCCUCAGCAGCGGCAGAGACACAAGCCAAGGAGAACCUGUUUUUCCCCUCAGUUGGUUGGUGGGAUAGGAGACCUGUGAGGGACAACAGUGGGCCAAACUGGCUUUGGGGCAGGGCUGUGUGUCACUCCUCUCUGCUGUCCUAAGCCUAGGGGACAAGAGGGAAGCUCCUUAGGGAGACAUCACAAUUGUAUGCAAGUUCUCUAGAGAAACAGAACCAAUAUGUGUAAGAGGAGAUUAUAGGAACUGACUCAUAUGGCUACAGAGGCCAAGAAGUCCCACCAUCUGCCAGCUGUAAGCUGGAAAGCCAGGUGUAACUCACUGGGGUAAUUCCUCCACCUUUUGUUCUAUCAGGCCCUCCAUGAAUAGAUCAAUGCCAUCCACACAGAGGAAGGCUCCAUGCAGCUCACCAAUGCAAAUGCUGAUCUCUUCCAGAAACACCCUUCUAGACAUACGCAGAAAUAAUGUUUUUCCAGCUAUCUGGGCAUGCCUUAGCCCAGGCAAGUUGACACAUAAAAUUAACCACCACGGCAUAGCCAGAACAUAGCCUUCACCUCUUCGGGGAAAUUCUCUUUGGUGGCAUUUGGGGAUAGUAACAAGGGCAACUUCCAGGUCAGGAUCUCAAAGCCCAAACCUCCCUGUUGCUGUUGAGUACAGGGGAAGAAGUAAGUCAAGCCAGGGGUGGGCUGACAGUGGCUACUGAAGGCUGUUCUAGCUGGACUGCUCUUUCUAACCUGCCUUUUGAGAGCCCUGCUACAGGGUUGGUGUACGUCAAGGCAGGAUGGGCUGGUGACAAUGAUGAGGGACGAAAGGGGCCUUGAGCAGCAAGUUUUGGUGAAGAUCGGACUGGCCAGGGCAAGAAACUAGGGAAAUCAGAAGUGAAUGAGCGAUCUGAAGUGGAGAUUGGAAAAAUGUAAGGGACCUUUUCUAGUUAAAUUUGUACUGAAGACUAGGUGGGGUUUGGGCCUCGAGGCUACAGUUUCAAUUAGAUCCAAAAGCUUAAUGCUCACAGUUUUUAACAAGGAGAGUUGAAUGAAGAGGGCUAAGUAACUUAGUCAAAAGUGUCUCAGAGCUUUGAGGUUAGCACUGUCGCCAGCAUGGCGGAGCCCUGAGGUAUGGCUGCUGACCAUUACAUUGGGAGAACUAACUCCUCAGAGCUGCUGGGGACACUGUUUGGCACUUGGAGAGCAUAUGAUCGAUGAUGGUACCCUUUCUGGUAAAGGCGGGUAAAUAGAUAAUGAUUUGAGUGUGUGAGGAGCCUUAUGCUUAAAAGAAAAAUUGAAAAACAAAUCAUUCCAAAAUAUAUUUAUAUGAGGAACUGAGAGUCAGAAGGAGAAGGACAGUGGGGUUCAUGAACCAGUAGCAUCAACACCACCAAUCAGCCCGUUAGAAAUGCAGAAUCUCACCCCUCCCACGCUUGAUGAGACAGAAUGUGUGCUUUAGCAAGAGCUCCGGAAGAUUCGAGUGCGCUGUAAAGAUUAAGGGGCAUUUCUGCUUUCCAAAUUUGGCUGGGAAUACUGGAAUCACCUGGGGAGUGUUAGCAGCGCCGGGGCCUGGUCUCGCUUUUAGGGUAGUGGGAGUCUGGGCCGAAGUUUGGGUUCCGGGAUAGUUCCACCACCCCCGUUCUCCAGCAGGCUUGAGAAGCAAUCCUCUGUAACCUGUCCCAGGUACAAGGGGUAUCAGACAGGGUGAGCAGAGGAAGCAAAGUGUGCCUUGUCCAGGCACAAACUCGCCAGCCAGCAGAAGGCAGCCCUGACUUCCACUCAGAGAGCUCCUCAGGGCUGAAAGGAGGCUGCCUGGGGUUCUGAGUUCUAAUCUCAACUCGGCUUUCCUCAACAUGUCCCUGAGUUCUGUCAAUGCUAGUCAGAUAAGGAAAUGACUAAAUGAACUGUCUGGCAAUUGAAAUCCUCACUUGAAAAUGAGGCUCUUUCUUUCCUCCGGUCAAGAUGUGGUGUUUCCUCCCCUUCCCUCCCCCUUCCAUCUUUGUGGUCCUGUUAACUAAAGUGCAGUUGCUCACACUUUCUGCUCCUGAGGAUCACAAAGGGGCUGCUUCCAUGGAUGGGAAGGUCAGACUCAGUUUUGUGACGGAAGUCACAGGUGUGGUUGCCCUUCGGAGGUGUAGGUGACAGGGAAAGGGCACUAGGGAGCCUUCCAGGGUGGGACAGCACUGCACCUUGACCUGGGAGGUGUUCCAUGGCUGCAUAAAUGUUGGCUGAGCUAGUCACCCAGGAAUUGAGCACUUCGCGCAUAUUAUACCUCGGUUAUAAACAAAAAAUGAGUGGAGCUCAACAGCCCGGCAGGGGAAAAACAAGUGCUCCAAGCACUUGGCAGACAGGAGCAGAGGUCACUGGCAAGAAGCUAAAGCAGAAAUUGGUGGAGAAGUGACAGUGAGAACCAGAGACCCAGACAGACAGGUAAGGACAGAGAUGGACAGAGAAGGUGCCUAUGGGAGUCACUCGACCCAAAUACCGGGAGUUGGAAUGGUCCUAAGUAAAGGGGUGGGGCUCAGCUUCCAAGUAGGAUGACCAACCGUACUGGUUUGCCUUGCGACUGUCCUGGUUUUAGCACAAAAAAGUCUGUGUCCCAGGAAAUCUCUCAGCCCAAGAUAAACAGGUAGUGUUCAUGACCCAGGCCUGGGGCUGUGGGUGGCAUUUGGCUGCUCGGAGGAAAUGGAGCAGGUGCAGAAAAUCCUCUCAGGGCCCCAAGCUGUGCAGGAGGAGCCUGGAUUGGUUAGGUAGAUGGGCUCCUUCCUCUUUGGCCAGAAGUGAGCCUGGAAUCGAGAAUCUGAGGCAAGGCAGCGGUGACCCGCAUCUGGGCUCUCCGGUUGGCCAAGCCCUCCCUGGCAUUCCCAGCCAUGCCUCUGUCCUGCAGUCUUGACCUGCACAGUCCUGUCAGGUCAGUGUGCAGCUGUUUGUUUGCUUGGGGGUAUUUCUAUCUGGCUUUGGAGCUUUUGGGCUACGGGCAUGUCCUUGUCACUUUUGUACCCUCCGUAGCUCAGUUCAGGGCCACAGCAUCACCUCUUUGGAGAAUUUUUUAAUCUUCUUAUGUCAUGGAUCUUUUGGGCAACUUGAAGAAGUAUUAAUUCCCUUCUCAAAAUAAUGCAUUAAAUGCAUAACAUAAAAUACAGAAUGAUGCAAAGAAAAUCAAUUAUUCUAAGACAUGGCUAUCAAAAAAUUUUUUAAAACAUGCUUCAUCAACAUCCCUCUUCAUUAAAGCUUUCCCUACUGGGAUCUAGCAGCAAGUGUAUUUUGAGGUAACUUUGACAACAAAUAAUAUUUCAUUAUACCUGCAACAAGUGUACCAUGAAACCAAAAGGUUUUGUGAUUUCUGUUGGUGACAAAUGGCGGGAACUGGUUACCGACACUACUGUAAUUUGUUCCCCCACACUCCUAACAACAAGAAAUGCUAAAUUUCACUUAGUAGUGUAUGAAAACAUAGAUGUCACUUUUAUUCCAUCCAAUUUCACACAUGUGCCCUAAAUUCCAUGGACUUCCAUUUAAGAAAUGCUAUAUACAUGAAUGAAAGAUCAGAAAUGUGCUUUGUAAACUGUAGAACACAGUGACCUUCUGAAUCGUGUUCGUCCUGGGGGCAUGUGUGCUUCCUGGGUUAAGCAAGGGAGGUUGAGAACCACUGUGAGACCAGAAGCAAAGAGGUGACUCUAAUCUCCAUUUGUCAGAGCUGGCUGCUGGCUCUUGAUUGGCUUUGUUCUAGUAAAGUGACAUUUGCUGUGACCCUCAUCUCCCCAUGCCCUUCCCUAGUGUGCAGGAGGACAGGCUGGUAGGCAGAGUUCAGGCACUGGGGGAGCAGGAAGCCUAUGUCUUAGUCUGGAGAGGGGCCUUUGGGUCAGCAUCAGAGCCCAUGCUGGCCAAACAAAAAGGCUUGAGGGCUUCGAGGAAGACCUCAUGUCCUCACAGCGCCCUGAGCAUCCUAUCUGUAACAUGAACCUUUGGGUAAAAACUGCUGGACCCUCUUUGAAGAUGAGAGUCUACCCAGGAGGGAGGUCAUGCAGAAUGUAAGGUCUUGGAAAGAGUGUUGUUGUUUCUUUUCAAUAUCACCCUGUGCAAGAGCACAUGGGAGCAGAGACCCUUCAAGCAAGUGGCUCUCCUUCUUGGCCCUCGCCCAAAUGACCCUGGGCAGGAAAACUGCCCUCCAAUUAGCAAUGAGAACAGUAAGGCCCACUAUAGCACCAAGUGGAAUGACCCCAGCCCCAGUCUGGUGACAUUUCAGCGCUUUAGACCGCAUGCCCUUUCUUGGCCCUGCACAGCAGGGCUGAGACACGAGGUUAUUUUUAUCUGAUGGUGCUGUUAUUGGUGUUUUGGUAGCUACUGCUGCGGGCUCUGGCAGUGGCAAGUGCGCAGCAAGGGUUUCCUGUGCAGCUUCUUCCUCCUUCCUCCACGUGGUUCCCUCCCACCUCAGGGUUCAGGUUGCAGCCGCUGCCUGGAACCUAACCUUGGUCUUGGAGGACAGCAAGAGCAUAGUGGCCUUUCCAGGCUUGUCCCCCACAUACUGGCCACUCAGGCUGCACCCUUGGGUCCCCCACCCAUUUCCUCUUCAAAGAGGGGUACCAAGGUACUUUUCCUACUGUCCUCUCUCCCACCUGCAACUCUACUCAGUAAAACUGUUGCUUUCUGCGAAGCCAGAUUCAUUGGAUUCAUCCUCAGUUUUGACUGUGAGCUACCAUCAGAAUUUUUUCUUUUCUUUUAAAAAUUCUGGUUGCAGCUUACCAAUAAAUUGAUUUCAAAACCUAAUAAUGAGUCAUGAUUCAGUUUGAAAAAUACUGUGCCAGAUAACUUUCUGGAGCUAUUUCUCUUUUCUGAGUGAAGGAAAGGCACUAGAAUUUAUAGACACCCUCUGAACAAGCACUGCCCUGGCUUUUGAGUUAUACGUAUUUCACAGAGAAGGAAGCUGAGCCCACGUUCUUACAACUAGAAGAGAGGUGCUGAGCUUUCUCAUCCUGCCUCCCAUAUCAUCUUGGGUCCACAGAAUAAGCCAUGGUAGGAACAUGGACACCAUGGAAAUGGGAAGACAGCACAAAUGAGAGCUCUGAGUGCUGGCUGUUCCACACUUAUCAGCACACUAUUGAUUCUAACCCUGCUCUUUCUGAUUCCAAAUGCAGUAUACUAUGAAGUUCUCUAACCUCAGCUUUGUCAUCUGCAAAAUAGCAUCAAAAAUGUCCACUUUGUUGGAAAAUAUAUAUUCAUUGAGUACUUUCUGGUAAGUAGGAGGGACAAUGAUGAGAAGAAAAUCAAAAUGCAAAUAAUGGAUUUCUUACCAUGAUGGAAUUUAAAAGAUGAAGUCCCCAAAUUCCACUGUCUUUAAAAUUCCCAGGGUUGCUAAAGUAGUUUGUACAAAAAGAUUGUAUCUAUGAAAACCCACAAUUUGGCAAAGUGUGAUGAGAAUGAGAAGAAAUGGAGGAAAAACAGUGCUCUGUAAAUGGCAGCCAGUACUAGAAAAGAGUGGGUUUGCAUUUUUCUGACUGAAAAUGGGAAAGGAAAUAUUGGAAAUGAAUCGCAUUUCAAAGUAGGAUUUCUAUCCAGGCAAACAGAGGAGAGUCUCAUGAAUAUUCUGAUUUAAAGAUUAUACUGAUGAACAUAUCACACAUGAACUACUAAUUCUCACAAUUCUAGAAUAUGGGCUUUAUAGCCUCAGAGAUAUCCAGUCUCGGGCAAUGGUGUCCCCUCUACCUGACAGCUCCCUCUGCCCGGUAACAUCCACAAAAGACUGAGAAUAAGACUAAAGAAGGCCAAGUGAGUGUUCCAUCCUCAUACCCCUUUGCAGGAGGUACUUGUCUUACCUUCAUUUCCCAGACAAGAGCAUGGAGGUCCCCAGACAUGAAGAGACUGCCCCUGAAUCACACAUGGGUGCUAAGCAGCACUGGAAGGAAAGACAACCUUUGUAACAGCAGCACUCCUCACCUGUUAUCCAGCGCUUUCUCCUUCAGGAGGCUUGGGGUAAAGUGGAACAGCAUUGAAGAGAUUGGCCAACCAUGAAAAAAAUGGAUGAAGAAACUGUAUUUUCAAGCAAAUAAUUAUUCUGUUUAGAAGGUCAUGUGGAGAAAGUGGGAGACAGAAAUGAGGACUCACAUUUCCAUCCCCAGGGGCUAUUUGCCUGCGAGUGCCCAGUUGUUCCACACCAUUUGUUGUAAAGAUUAUCCUUUCUCCACUCAGUUGCCUUUGCACCCUUGUCAAAAAUCACUUGACUGUACAUGUGUGAGUUUAUGUUUGGACUCUGUUUCAUUGAUCUGGUUUUCCAUCCUGACACCAAUACUACAGUUUUGAUUAUUGUCACUUUGUAAUAAAUUUUGAAAUAGAAAACUGCAAGUCCUCUGUGUUUUCUUUCAAAGCUGUGUUAUUUGGAGACAGAGUCUCACUAAGUUGCUAAGUUGCACAAGCUGGGUUUGAACUUGUGAUUUCCUCUAUAUUAGACUCCAGGGAUGCUGGGAUUACAGGCUUACACCACCAUGUCUAGCUGGUCCUUUGCAUUUAUGUAUGAAUUUCACAAUCAGAUCAUUGAUGCGUACAGAAAGAGAAACUUGCUGAUAUUUUGAUUACAUUGAAUCUAUAGAUAAAUUGCAAAAG
ensembl:lncRNA